rnacentral:rRNA from 1 species
UACGGGGGAUGCAAGCGUUAUCCGGAAUUAUUGGGCGUAAAGGGUCCUGAGGUGGCUAGCCAAGUCUAUUGUGAAAUAUCAGGGCUUAACCCUGAACAUGCGGUGGAAACUAGAAAGCUUGAGUACAGUAGGGGCGGAGGGAAUUUCCGGUGGGAGCGGUGAAAUGCGUAGAGAUCGGAAAGAACACCAACGGCGAAAGCACUCUGCUGGGCCGACACUGACACUGAGAGACGAAAGCUAGGGGAGC